rnacentral:rRNA from 1 species
GGGGAAUUUUCCGCAAUGGGCGAAAGCCUGACGGAGCAAGACCGCGUGGGGGAUGAAGGUUUGUGGAUUGUAAACCCCCUUUGAUUGGGAAGAAUACUGACGGUACCAAUCGAAUAAGCCUCGGCUAACUCCGUGCCAGCAGCCGCGGUAAUANCGGAGGAGGCAAGCGUUAUCCGGAAUUAUUGGGCGUAAAGCGUCCGUAGGUGGUUUAGUAAGNCUGCUGUUAAAGCGCGGGGCUUAACUCCGUAUCGGCAGUGGAAACUACNAGACNAGAGUGUGGNAGGGGNAGAGGGAAUGCCCAGUGUAGCGGUGAAAUGCGNAGANAUNAAGGAAGAACACCGGUGGCGAAAGCGCGACUACUGGGCCANAACUGACACUGAUGGACGAAAGCNAAGGGGAGCGAAAGGGAUUAGAGACCCC